AUUGAACGCUGGCGGCAGGCUUAACACAUGCAAGUCGAGCGGGGUGAUGGUGCUUGCACUAUCACUUAGCGGCGGACGGGUGAGUAAUGCUUAGGAAUCUGCCUAUUAGUGGGGGACAACAUUUCGAAAGGAAUGCUAAUACCGCAUACGUCCUACGGGAGAAAGCAGGGGGUCUUCGGACCUUGCGCUAAUAGAUGAGCCUAAGUCGGAUUAGCUAGUUGGUGGGGUAAAGGCCUACCAAGGCGACGAUCUGUAGCGGGUCUGAGAGGAUGCUCCGCCACACUGGGACUGAGACACGGCCCAGACUCCUACGGGAGGCAGCAGUGGGGAAUAUUGGACAAUGGGCGGAAGCCUGAACCAGCCAUGCCGCGUGUGUGAAGAAGGCCUUAUGGUUGUAAAGCACUUUAAGCGAGGAGGAGGCUACUUUAGUUAAUACCUAGAGAUAGUGGACGUUACUCGCAGAAUAAGCACCGGCUAACUCUGUGCCAGCCGCCGCGGUAAGAC
rnacentral:rRNA from 1 species